AUGUUUUCGUUGCUCUUAACAAAUGCCACUGCUGCUGUGUCUCGUGCCACGAAGGAGCCCAGGUGCUGCUUGUACCUGCGUCCCGCAUCUACUGUCCCCUCUGCCCGAAUCGCAGAACCCGUGGUGUCCCCAACGGAGCGCUGCCUGCGUGUCCCAUCUACAUUGGAUGGCUGCGGCAGUCGUGAUGUUUCUGCUGUCACUGAACGCGGGUCCAGGACAGCCGAGAGGCCAUGCCCUGGAUCUACAUCCAAAACAGUCGAUUUUCCUGAGCGGAGGCCUGUCUGUGCUGCCACUUCGUGGCCACAUUGGGAACUGUAUCCUUGACAGCCUGGUGAGGUGACACCCCAGAGCAAGUCAUCAGCCCUUGGACGUGAAGCUGCCCACAUGGGGAGACUCCUGCGUCAGGCCUUGGAACGCAAUUCCAGUAAAGGGAGUGGGUGGCCCGGGCAGGGGGUGCAGGAAGAGCAAGCUGAACAGCCUACGGUGCCCCCAACAAAGAUGGAAAAAAGUGAAAGUUGCUCAGUCGUGUCUGACUCUUUGUGACCCUAUGGACUAUACAGUCCUUGGAAUUCUCCAGGCCAGAAUACUGGAGUGGGUAGCCUUUCCCUUCACCAGGGGAUCUUCCCAACCCAGGGAUCAAACCCGGGUCUCCUGCAUUGCGGGUGGAUUCUUUACCAACUGAGCCAUCAGGGAAGCCCAACAAGGAUGGGGUCACAUGUAAAAGAAAAUGUCCUCAGGAGAAGGUCGUGCAGAAGACACAACAGCAUGUGGGCCAUGGGUGUGAUGCUUGUGACCGCUGAGUGCCUGCAAGUGCCAGGCUUCGCACAGGUGUCUCCUCUUGGACCAGCCCACCCUGCUGUGGUGGGGAGACAGGAGAUGGUCCAGGUUCAUCACACACUUGGAAAAAGGCAGAGCUUUUGCCUGUUUUUCCCAACCAAUCGCAGCCCACGUAACCAUCACAGUUGAAGCCAGAACCGUCAUCAGAGUGUUGGCUCCUGCCACAAGCUGCAUCAUCCUCUUUAUUAUUACUAUCCCUCAGCAGGGGCAUGGAUUUGCAUCUUUUAUCCAACUCUGAAAUACGCAAAUUAAAAAUAUAUAUAUGGUAUGGGUGUGACAGACAGAAUUCUAAAAAUGGACUCAAGCUACCCACCCCUGGUUUUCCAGUCAAACACUAAUCCAGGUGCUGCUGUGAAGGGACUUUGCAGAUGUAGUUGGAGUCCUAAGCCAGUGACCUUUUGUAGAGAGUAUCUGGUGGGCUCAAUUUUGGUGAGCCGUUUAAAAGCAAAAAGUUUCCUCUGCAGGCAAAGUCAGAAUGCUUCACGGC
rnacentral:lncRNA from 1 species